AGCUGUACGUCCGGCAGCUCCAGGGAAGGACAACACGACCCUAGCCAUCGCGCUGGGCGUGACCUGUGGCGUACUGGCCAUCAUGAUCGUGGUCGCGCUUGUGUUCUUCCUACUGCACAAGAACAAAACCGGAGGAACGAAAAUCACCCCUGUCAAACCGACAACAUCAGAAUAGAACAACGUACCAACAUCGUGGAGCACUUUUAACAUCGAUCUUCAGUUUCACAUUUUAAGU